rnacentral:rRNA from 1 species
CAUAUCGACGGCGGUGUUUGGCACCUCGAUGUCGGCUCAUCACAUCCUGGGGCUGAAGUAGGUCCCAAGGGUAUGGCUGUUCGCCAUUUAAAGUGGUACGCGAGCUGGGUUUAGAACGUCGUGAGACAGUUCGGUCCCUAUCUGCCGUGGGCGCUGGAGAAUUGAGGGGGGCUGCUCCUAGUACGAGAGGACCGGAGUGGACGCAUCACUGGUGUUCGGGUUGUCAUGCCAAUGGCACUGCCCGGUAGCUAAAUGCGGAAGAGAUAAGUGCUGAAAGCAUCUAAGCACGAAACUUGCCCCGAGAUGAGUUCUCCCUGAGACUUUAAGUCUCCUGAAGGAACGUUGAAGACGACGACGUUGAUAGGCCGGGUGUGUAAGCGCAGCGAUGCGUUGAGCUAACCGGUACUAAUGAACCGUGAGGCUUAACCUU